rnacentral:rRNA from 1 species
AUUGAACGCUGGCGGCAUGCUUUACACAUGCAAGUCGAACGGUAACAGGCCGCAAGGUGCUGACGAGUGGCGAACGGGUGAGUAAUGCAUCGGAACGUGCCCAGUCGUGGGGGAUAACUACUCGAAAGAGUAGCUAAUACCGCAUACGAUCUAUGGAUGAAAGCGGGGGACCGUAAGGCCUCGCGCGAUUGGAGCGGCCGAUGUCAGAUUAGGUAGUUGGUGGGGUAAAGGCUCACCAAGCCAACGAUCUGUAGCUGGUCUGAGAGGACAACCGGCCACACUGGGACUGAGACACGGCCCAGACUCCUACGGGAGGCAGCAGUGGGGAAUUUUGGACAAUGGGCGCAAGCCCGAUCCAGCAAUGCCGCGUGCAGGAAGAAGGCCUUCGGGUUGUAAACUGCUUUUGUACGGAACGAAACGGCUCUGGUUAAUACCCGGGGCUAAUGACGGUACCGUAAGAAUAAGCACCGGCUAACUACGUG